UUAACAUGUUGCAGAUGGUAAGAUAGACCAGCUUGGCCGUGCUUUUAUUGUUGUGCCAUUGUUGGUGUAUUUUGUGGGAUGGAUGGGGUGUUGUCUUAAAUUGCUGCAAGUUGUAUGCUUCACCACUUCCAAUUUGGGUGUAGUUUUUUAUUUCAAGGUCAAUGAUGUGCCAUUGUUGGUGUAUUUUGUGGGAUGGAUGGGGUGUUGUCUUAAAUUGCUGCAAGUUGUAUGCUUCACCACUUCCAAUUUGGGUGUAGUUUUUUAUUUCAAGGUCAAUGAUCUGAUUUGAUGUCGAACACUAUUGCCUCCACUGUUACCAGGUUUGCAAUCCUGAGUUGCUUGACCUAUGAACCACCUGUUUACAUUGCCUUUGAUGAAGUGUUUUUGGUUUUGAUCAUUGCAGGUCUACAGCAGGCAUGUGGAUCUGGCUUAUGGAGUGGUUUUGAUAGUUUUGCUUGAACUGAUGUGAAUAUGGUUGGUUGUUGUACAAGGCCGAGCUGCUUGUAAAUGGAUGAUAGCUGCUACAGGUACAUCUGACUGAAUUGUUGCUGUUACUAGCCGCUGAGUCUGCUUUGUUGAAGUGACCAAAUGGCUAAUUGCAGGUUAUGUUGUGGUCGGAAGCAUGGUAAGCCAUUAUGAUUUAGGUGUUUCACUGUAGGAUCACUUGGCUUGAUUGGGAUGCUUUAUGGUGAGCUGAAUUACCUGCUGCCAGUAAAAUGUCAACAUGAUUCCAAAGGAAAUGGACAUGUAUAAGCAUCCCAAUACUGGCCAAGAACAGAGCAGCAAACAAGUUGCGAAUUGGCUCAACUUGUUCAAGCGUAUGUUGACCAAGAUCC
rnacentral:lncRNA from 1 species